AGGCUCUCAGAUCCCAGGGAGAUGAUUGUAGAUCUGUGUCUGUAGGGACGGGAGGCUCAGGGAUUGUGGAUCUGUGUCUGUAGGGAUGGAAGGCUCUGGGAUCCCAUCUGGGAUUCCAGGGAGGUGAUUUGGGAUCUGUGUCUGUAGGGAUGGAAGGCUCUGGGAUCCCAUCUGGGAUUCCAGGGAGGGGAUUGUGGAUCUGUGUCUGUAGGGAUGGGAGGCUCAGGGAUUGUGGAUCUGUGUCUGUAGGGAUGGAAGGCUCUGGGAUCCCAUCUGGGAUUCCAGGGAGGUGAUUGUGGAUCUGUGUCUGUAGGGCUGUGAUGCUGCUGCCGGUUCCUCAGCUGGAAAUGAUCCCAGUGGCUCUGGCUGCUGGCAGGGGAAAGGCACAAACCUCCCGUUCUGGUGGCAAAGGGGAGAUCUGCUGGCUGCAGGGACCUUGCCCGAGGCAGCUCCAGGGGCUGCAGUUCCUGGCUGGAGCUGCAGCCAUCUCCCAGGCCCUCAGGAGCAGUGCCAGCAGCUCGUUUGUAUUCCAGGGAAACAGCAGAGCUGGGAAUGGAGCUCCCAGUUCUGCAGCCUUGCCUUCCGUGCUGCCAGAGCAGCAUCUGCCACAAAUCAAACCCUCAGAUCCCAGAAAUUGCUCCUGGCACGGUGGGGACAGCCUGGAUCUGUCCCUUCCCAGCUCUAAUUGACCUCUGGGGAGAGCAGCAGAUGGGCAGGGCCGUGCUGCCAAGGGCUCAUGCAGAGCUCCUUUUCAAAAUCCCCAUUCCAGGAGCUUUUGCCCAUUCAAAUCCCCAUUCCAGGAGCCCUUUCCCAUUGAAAUCCCCAUUCCAGGUUCCUUUUCCCCCUCAAAUCCCCAUUCCAGGAACUCCUCUUCAAAUCCCCAUUCCAGGAUCCAUUUUUCCAUUCAAAUCCCCACUCCAGGAACUUUUUCCCAUUCAAAUCCCCAUUCCAGGAACAUUUUUCCCAUUCAAAUCCCCAUUCCAGGAGCCUUUUCCCAUUUUUGGGCCAAAGGAGGGUUUUCCUGGGUGCCUCAGUGAGGAGAACAAAGCUGAUUUCCCUGCUCAUUUCUGCUGACUGACAUCACCCUUGGUUGGAUUCUGAAAAUUCCCAUUCCUCAGCUUUUUUUGGAGCAUCAGCUCUGCCCACCAGUGAGAGGACUGGGAGAACUGGGAGCAUGGACAGGAGGGUGGCACUGCCUGAUCCCAGGAAUCCUUUCCAGCAGUUUUCCAAGGACUUUUUUUUUCAGGAAUAGAUGGAUCUGCUCUCACCAGGGGAUGCUUUUUUUUUUCCCAGAGGAAUUAUUGACUGCAAGAUUCACUCUUCCCUCGCCUUGCACGGUGGGGUUGUUAGCCUGGAUACUAAUUAAUCAUGCUCUAAUUGACGGAAAACUGGGUUUUUCCCUCAAACCAUCACCCAGUUGCUGCUCUGUGCUAAUCUUUGCCACAGCUGUGGGUUUUUCUCCAUGCUAAAGUGAUUUUCCCUUGUGUCUUUUACCUCCUUCCCCAGAGCACAAUGAAGUUUAACUAAUACUCACCGAGAUGCCUGAUUGGAAAGCUUGGAGGGGAACAAAAUAUCUUUAUUUUCCUGAGCAAAUUCCUGAGAGUGGGGCUCACACACUCCAUCAGCUGCAUCUUCUGUCCCUGAAUGACACGGAAUAUUGAUGUGGCUUUUAUUGGGGAAGGAACUGGCUUUGGUGGAGAAGAGAAAUCAUCAGCCCAGAGUCCUGAGUGCUGCUGCUGGAGAAUUCCAGUGACCAGGAAGUAAAAGCUUGGAAAAGAGAGAGGGAGGAGGUGUUUUUGCAGCUUCAAAACUGGAUUGAGCUGAGGAUGAAGGCUCUGGGCAGUGGAAGAGGUUUUCCCUGCCUCACUUCAUGUUUUUGAUCCCUGAUUCUUGUUGGCAUCCAGCUGCUUUUUCCCUCUGCUCCUGUGGGAUCGGGCAGCUUUGAUCUGGACAUCAGGAAUGGUUCCUCUGUUCUUAGGGUGUGACAAAACCAGGGAAAAUUGGGAUUGUGCCUCGGUGUGAAAUGCUGAGAGCCCCCGAGGAGUGUCCUAGCCCUUCCCCCUCUGCCACAUUCCUUAUCUCUGCCAAACUGCAGCUGGCACAGACCAAAAGCAUUUUUUGGUGAUGAAAAGCACUUUUUGGUGGUGCCCUCGGCCUGGGCUGGGCCAUCUCGGGGGUCUGUGCCACUCUGGGCAGGAGAGGAGUGGGCAAAACAACCCAAA